rnacentral:misc_RNA from 1 species
GCACUAUCGUAGUGCCCGAACCAAGGAGCUGGAUGCAUUGCUGGGGGACCUGCACUGCGAGAUCCGGGACCAGGAGACGCUGCUGAUGUACCAGCUACAGUGCCAGGUGCUGGCACGAGCAGCUGUCUUAACCCGAGUAUUGGACCUUGCCUCCCGCCUGGACGUCCUGCUGGCUCUUGCCAGUGCUGCCCGGGACUAUGGCUACUCAAGGCCGCGUUACUCCCCACAAGUCCUUGGGGUACGAAUCCAGAAUGGCAGACAUCCUCUGAUGGAACUCUGUGCCCGAACCUUUGUGCCCAACUCCACAGAAUGUGGUGGGGACAAAGGGAGGGUCAAAGUCAUCACUGGACCCAACUCAUCAGGGAAGAGCAUAUACCUCAAACAGGUAGGCUUGAUCACAUUCAUGGCCCUGGUAGGCAGCUUUGUGCCAGCAGAGGAGGCCGAAAUUGGGGCAGUAGACGCCAUCUUCACACGAAUUCAUAGCUGCGAAUCCAUCUCCCUUGGCCUCUCCACCUUCAUGAUCGACCUCAACCAGGUGGCGAAAGCAGUGAACAAUGCCACUGCACAGUCGCUGGUCCUUAUUGAUGAAUUUGGAAAGGGAACCAACACGGUGGAUGGGCUCGCGCUUCUGGCCGCUGUGCUCCGACACUGGCUGGCACGUGGACCCACAUGCCCCCACAUCUUUGUGGCCACCAACUUUCUGAGCCUUGUUCAGCUACAACUGCUGCCACAAGGGCCCCUGGUGCAGUAUUUG